rnacentral:lncRNA from 1 species
UCCUUUACGAACUGCACUACAAAAUAUACUUUAAAAGAAUUUUUUGUGCACCAUGGACGGUGCAGAAUUGCACGCAUCAUUACGGAGCUGGAAAAUUUUUUUUUUUCCACACAUCGUAUCUCGAUUCUAUACAUGAGCCAAUCAUCAUAGACGAUGCGCAUAUUCUGCACCAUCUACGGUACACAAAAAUUUUUUCUAUACUUUAGAUGCCAGUCAUUCACCAUUGCACAAUUCAUCACGAUCAGAAUGAAUUAUAAUUAUUGGGAGAGAAAGUGAAAUUUAUCCACUAGAAUAUGAAUUCUCUAUAUUUUUUUGAAACAAACGGAAAAGGAUCCACCCAUAAUACAUUUGUCUAGGUUGUAAUCUUUGAAAACCCGCC